AUGGUAAGCCAGGUCAUGUACUCUGUGGAUUCUGAUGCAGAAAGUAGAGGAUCCUCUCCAACUGAAUCUCUCCAAACAUCUGAACCCACUAUAUCUGAUGUAGGCAAUCUAUUGAGUGGCAAGUCCUCCCCUCGGCUGUCUCCUUCUGGCACCAUUAUGGCAACAAGCGAGACCUCCAAUGCAGCACAAAUCUUGAAGGCCAACAUUGAUGGAGAGGAAGUGGAUACCACCAGUCAUUCUGGUGUAGCUCAAAACAUUGUCAAGGACGAUAUGUCAACCAGCCCAGACAUGGUCAAAGAUGUCACACUUCCAACCCCAUCCUCUGAUAACUUGGGCAGUGAUGAUGACGUCACCGGCCUCAUCAGCAUGUUAGUAAUGAGAAUUCUAACAGAAAUCCAAACCCCAGCAGAAGAUUACCCAGUUGACGUCACACGCAAGUCACAAGACCUUAUCCCUAAAGUUAUGGAGGUCUUCUGUGCAUGGUCAGGCUGCUCUGAGACACAAGCCUAUCCAGAGAACUUGAGGAUUCAUAAAGUCUACAGAGUCGUCUAUAAAAAUCUGUUGGAGGAGUUUGGCUCGGAGAAAAUCCUCCAACAGGCCGUGACGACUCAGGACUCUUCAUUUGAUAGGAUUCUUGUCAAGUCUUUGAGUGAAGCGCUUCUCCACAGAUGUAAUGAGGCAUUGAGGGCAGCCUCAAGAACAUCAGUCAAAACCACCGGGCCUAAGGCUCUUCCACUGGCUGAGGAUGUGAGGGCUAGCAGCGGGAAACUAUCUUUUCUACAAAGGCUGGUCAGGCUGACAAGCAACUUAAAGCUAUUCAAGAAGGGGAACAAGAAGGAUUCCCACCGCUCUGAAUCAGAACAAGUACAGACCACUGCUGAAGAUGGCAUGCUGCCCAGCAUAGUGCCACAUGCUGCCAUGUCUGCACUGCCAAAGGAUCUCCCCGCCAGCUCCCAACAGGAGACGCCUCACAAACGUCCACUUCUCGUCAGGAUGUUUUCUGCCAUCUCCAAAGGCCUUUUCAAGCCCUUCUUCACAGUCUGACUCUUCUGACACUGUGUGACAUGCCCUCUGAUCCAGUGAUCUAGGAUAUUCUGAGUGGCUUUAGGCCUGAAUCUCUGCCCUCCUGCCCAAAUAAAUGUUUUCUCUUCUGAUAUAUCUGCCUCUGUCAGCAGCCAGCAGGGGAAAACAGACAGCACUGUUGAGAGCUGUGGGCACCUAGCUGCUGCCCCCGCUGGGCUUGGACUGGGUCUUGCCCCUCAUGGCCCCUCCGCGAGCCUGGCCCUUGGCUGGCUGCUGCUGUACUGGGGACUCUGCUGCAGCGGAAACUGGGGCCUGUUGGGCCGGGCUGUGAGGAGGGGGGUCUGUAUCUGAAGCGAGGCAGCUGCAGUCCCCACCUGCUGCUGGAGGAGCUUCUGCUGAACCACCUGGGCUGUGCCUGCUGGAAUCAUCUGGACCUGGGGAUGUAGUCUGGGUCAGGGCAACCGUCAGGGGCUGGAUCUGUUACGAGACAGGAAGAGGGUCACAUUAAAUCAGACAGAAGACAACAUCAAGUGUAAAAUGAUCACUCGUGGUUGUAAUCUGUUGAUCACUCGUGGUUGUAAUCUGUUGAUCACUCGUGGUUGUAAUCUGUUGGCACCGUCCCUGGGUGUCACUUCUGUAGCAGUAUUGUUAAGAGUGUAUGAUUGUUUUUUUUAAAUUUUAACUUUAACUUUUUAACUUCAGUUAAGAACAAAUUCUUAUUUACAACGACGGCCAUAAGAACAGUGGGUUAAUUGCCUUGUUCAAGGGCAGAACGACAGAUUUUUACCUUGUCAGCUCGGGGAUUUGAUCUGGCAACCUCUCGGUUACUGGCCCAAUGCUCUAACCACGAGGCUACCUGCCGCCCCACAUACAUGUAUGUAUGUAUGUAUGUAUGUAUGUAUGUACGUACAGUAGGGCAAAAAAGUAUUUAGUCAGCCACCAAUUGUGCAAGUUCCCCCACUUAAAAAGAUGAGAGGCCUGUAAUUUUCAUCAUAGGUACACUUCAACUAACUAAUUUAUUUUAAAUUAAGGUGGAAAAUAAGUAUUUGGUCAAUAACAAAAGUUUAUCUCAAUACUUUGUUAUAUACCCUUUGUUGGCAAUGACAAAGGUCAAAUGUUUUCUGUAAGUCUUCACAAGGUUUUCACACACUGUUGCUGGUAUUUUGGCCCAUUCCUCCAUGCAGACCUCCUCUAGAGCAGUGAUGUUUUGGGGCUGUUGCUGGGCAACACGGACUUUCAACUCCCUCCAAAGAUUUUCUAUGGGGUUGAGAUCUGGAGACUGGCUAGGCCACAGGACCUUGAAAUGCUUCUUACGAAGCCACUCCUUCCUUGCCCGGGUGGUGUGUUUGGGAUCAUUGUCAUACUGAAAGACACAGCCACGUUUCAUCUUCAAUGCCCUUGCUGAUGGAAGGAGGUUUUCACUCAAAAUCUCACGAUACAUGGCCCCAUUCAUUCUUUCCUUUACACGGAGCAGUUGUCCUGGUCUCUUUGCAGAAAAACAGCCCCAAGCUGUUUCCACCCCCAUGCUUCACAGUAGGUAUGGUGUUCUUUGGAUGCAACUCAGCAUUCUUUGUCCUCCAAACACGACAAGUUGAGUUUUUACCAAAAAGUUAUAUUUUGGUUUCAUCUGACCGUAUGACAUUCUCCCAAUCUGGCACUGCAGGAUUUGAGUCCCUGGCGGCGUAGUGUGUUACUGAUGGUAGGCUUUGUUACUUUGGUCCCAGCUCUCUGCAGGUCAUUCACUAGGUCCCCCCGUGUGGUUCUGGGAUUUUUGCUCACCGUUCUUGUGAUCAUUUUGACCCCACGGGGUGAGAUCUUGCGUUGAGCCCCAGAUCGAGGGAGAUUAUCAGUGGUUUUGUAUGCCUUCCAUUUCCUAAUAUUUGCUCCCACAGUUGAUUUCUUCAAAGUUUGGAGUUUGGAGUGUGACUGUUUGAGGUUGUGGACAGAUGUCUUUUAUACUGAUAACAAGAUCAAACAUUAAGACAAACAUUAAUACAGGUAACGAGUGGAAGACAGAGGAGCCUCUUCAAGAAGAAGUUACAGGCCUGUGAGAGCCAGAAAUCUUGCUUGUUUGUAGGUGACCAAAUACUUAUUUUCCACCAUAAUUUGCAAAUAAAUUCAUUAAAAAUCCUACAAUGUGAUUUUCUGGAUUUUCUUUUCUCCUUUUGUCUGUCAUAGUUGAAGUGUACCUAUGAUGAAAAUUACAGGCCUCUCUCAUCUUUUUAAGUGGGAGAACUUGCACAAUUGGUGGCUGACUAAAUACUUUUUUGCCCCACUGUAUGUAUGUAUGUACACUGCUCAAAAAAAGAAAGGGAACACUAAAAUAACACAUCCUAGAUCUGAAUGAAUGAAAUAUUCUUAUUAAAUACUUUUUUCUUUACAUAGUUGAAUGUGCUGACAACAAAAUCACACACAAAUUAUCAAUGGAAAUCAAAUGUAUCAACCCAUGGAGGUCUGGAUUUGGAGUCACACUCAAAAUUAAAGUGGAAAACCACACUACAGGCUGAUCCAACUUUGAUGUAAUGUCCUUAAAAGAAGUCAAAAUGAGGCUCAGUAGUGUAUGUGGCCUCCACUUGCCUGUAUGAGCUCCCUACAACGCUUGGGCAUGCUCCUGAUGAGGUGGCGGAUGGUCUCCAGAGGGAUCUCCUCCCAGACCUGGACUAAAGCAUCCGCCAACUCCUGGACAGUCUGUGGUGCAACGUGGCGUUGGUGGAUGGAGCGAGACAUGAUGUCCCAGAUGUGCUCAAUUGGAUUCAGGUCUGGGGAACGGGCGGGCCAGUCCAUAGCAUCAAUGCCUUCCUCUUGCAGGAACUGCUGACACACUCCAGCCACAUGAGGUCUAGCAUUGUCUUGCAUUAGGAGGAACCCAGGGCCAACCGCACCAGCAUAUGGUCUCAAGGGGUCUGAGGAUCUCAUCUCGGUACCUAAUGGCAGUCAGGCUACCUCUGGCGAGCAUAUGGAGGGCUGUGCACCCCCCUCAAAGAAAUGCCACCCCACACCAUGACUGACCCACCGCCAAACCGGUCAUGCUGGAGGAUGUUGCAGGCAGCAGAACGUUCUCCACGGUGUCUCCAGACUCUGUCACGUCUGUCACGUGCUCAGUGUGAACCUGCUUUCAUCUGUGAAGAACACGGGACGCCAGUGGCGAAUUUGCCAAUCUUGGUGUUCUCUGGCAAAUGCCAAACGUCCUGCACGGUGUUGGGCUGUAAGCACAACCCCCACCUGUGGACAUCGGGCCCUCAUACCACCCUCAUGGAGUCUGUUUCUGACCGUUUGAGCAGACACAUGCACAUUUGUGGCCUGCUGGAGGUCAUUUUGCAGGGCUCUGGCAGUGCUCCUCCUAGCACAAAGGCGGUGCUAGCGGUCCUGCUGCUGGGUUGUUGCCCUCCUACGGCCUCCUCCACGUCUCCUGAUGUACUGGCCUGUCUCCUGGUAGCGCAUCCAUGCUCUGGACACUACGCUGACAGACACAGCAAACCUUCUUGCCACAGCUCGCAUUGAUUUUUCCAUCCUGAUGAGCUGCACUACCUGAGCCACUUGUGUGGGUUGUAGGCUCCGUCUCAUGUACCACUAGAGUGAAAGCACCGCCAGCAUUCAAAAGUGACCAAAACAUCAGCCAGGAAGCAUAGGAACUGAGAAGUGGUCUGUGGUCCCCACCUGCAGAACCGCUCCUUUAUUGGGGGUGUUUGCUAAUUGCCUAUAAUUUCCACCUGUGUCUAUUCCAUUUGCACAACAGCAUGUGAAAUUUAUUGUCAAUCAGUGUUGCUUCCUAAGUGGACAGUUGAUUUCACAGAAGUGUGAUUGACUUGUGUUACAUUGUGUUGUUUGAGUGUUCCCUUUAUUUUUUUGAGCAGUGUAUGUAUGUAUGUAUGUAUGUAUGUAGUGUGUGGUGUGUUUAUGUCCUCUCACUGUCAACUGCAAUAUUUUCAGCAAACGUAACACGUGUAAAUAUUUGUACGAACAUAAGAUUCAAAAACUGAGACAAACUGAAUAAGUUCCACAGAUAUGUGACGAACAGAAUUUAAUAAUGUGUCCCUGAACGAAAGGGGAAGGGCAAAAUCAAAAGUAACAGUCAGUAUCUGGG
ensembl:lncRNA